rnacentral:tRNA from 3 species
CGGAGCGUUGCCUAGUGGCUAAGGCGCCUGCUUUGGGAGCAGGAAAUCGAAGGUUCAAGUCCUUUCGCUCCGA